rnacentral:misc_RNA from 1 species
GGGAGUUAUAAGAGCCCGACGUUGCGGCGGUCGUUGACUACGGAGUCGAGUAGCCGGGGGUAUGAAGGGGGCGGUCAGAGGGAGAGCUGGACUUCGUCGGAGGUUGUGAAGAACGCGGCUUCUUCGGCUUGGAGUCCUGAUUUGAGAACUAGUAUCGCGGGGACGGCAGUGAGCGAGGAGAAUGCUUCGAGCCAUACGGGAGUUAAGAGUCGGGAGGAGAGGCUGUUGGAGACUAUUGUCACUUCAGGGGGUGUGCGGUUGCAGCCGACUCGAGAAUCUCUGCAGGCCUUCGCUAUUGAGGCUUUGAAGCUAGAUGCUGUGGCUAUGAGUCGUGCGCUUGAAUUGAAGCUCAAUUCUCAUUUGUG